GAGAUUAAUCACUUUUUUUAAAAAACAAUCACUAAAUCCUAAAAAAGUAAUCUAGUUUUUCCACUGUUAGACUUCCAGGGCCAUAUUCACACCCUACAAAACUCAUACAACUCCCACUGAAGCUAAGUGGAGGACAGGGGUCGAUCUAUGCUAUCUGACAUUAACCUUGGAUAUUAUCUAAUAAAAGAAAAGCUAUCCUAUUCUAACUGGGUCACAAUUUAGUCUGGCUCCUCAGAGUCCACAAGAUCAGUCUUCUGUGGCCAUAAAAAAAAAAAAACUAAUUUUAAAAUAGAAUCUAUUUCAUUAGAGUUGCUUGCAGUGAAGGCAAUGCAAAAUAGAAAGUUUUGUUUAGGAAUACUUGCAUUUUUCUUUAGAACUCUAAUAUUUAAAAGAAUAUAGUCACGGUAAUCAAAAUGCCAUUAUAUUCUUCUUCUCCCCUUUGUCUGUUUAUCUAUCAGAAUGUGGAAUACAUUCAAAAGUAACAGAACUGAGGGAGAUUUAGAGAGCAAUGUGACUCAAGAGAGGACUAAUUCUAAGUAAAACCCAGCUCAAUUGUACGUCCUUCAUUCAAUCAGAUGGCAAUACACUUGCGCUCAAAUGGCAGCUACUCACCUCUCAGUUUUCAUUUCAAGAAUCAAGGAAAAGAAUGUACAUUUAUGAAAUGAUAAUACCUAACCAUCAACUUUUCUUUCAAGUACUAUAACCUAAGGGUGAGCAUUGAAAAGUCAGAGUCAAUAGUAUAAUUACUAUAAAAAAGUGAUUUUAACUUGAAAUUUUCC
rnacentral:lncRNA from 12 species